rnacentral:rRNA from 1 species
UACGUAGGGGCCGAGCGUUGUCCGGAGUUAUUGGGCGUAAAGCGCGCGCAGGCGGCUUCGCGCGCCCGACGUGAAAGCCCCCGGCUUAACCGGGGAGAGUCGUUGGGGACGGCGGGGCUUGAGGGCGGGAGAGGUCGGUGGAAUUCCCGGUGUAGUGGUGAAAUGCGUAGAGAUCGGGAGGAACACCUGUGGCGAAGGCGGCCGACUGGGCCGACCCUGACGCUGAGGCGCGAAGGCGUGGGGAGCGAACGGG